rnacentral:rRNA from 1 species
AUUGAACGCUGGCGGCAUGCUUUACACAUGCAAGUCGAACGGUAACAGGCCGCAAGGUGCUGACGAGUGGCGAACGGGUGAGUAAUGCAUCGGAACGUGCCCAGUCGUGGGGGAUAACUACUCGAAAGAGCAGCUAAUACCGCAUACGAUCUAUGGAUGAAAGCGGGGGACCGUAAGGCCUCGCGCGAUUGGAGCGGCCGAUGUCAGAUUAGGUAGUUGGUGGGGUAAAGGCUCACCAAGCCAACGAUCUGUAGCUGGUCUGAGAGGACGACCAGCCACACUGGGACUGAGACACGGCCCAGACUCCUACGGGAGGCAGCGGUGGGGAAUUUUGGACAAUGGGCGCAAGCCUGAUCCAGCAAUGCCGCGUGCAGGAAGAAGGCCUUCGGGUUGUAAACUGCUUUUGUACGGAACGAAACGGCUCUGGUUAAUACCCGGGGCUAAUGACGGUACCGUAAGAAUAAGCACCGGCUAACUACGUG